rnacentral:rRNA from 1 species
UACGUAGGGUGCGAGCGUUAAUCGGAAUUACUGGGCGUAAAGCGUGCGCAGGCGGUUCGUUGUGUCUGAUGUGAAAGCCCCGGGCUCAACCUGGGAAUGGCAUUGGAAACUGGCGAGCUAGAGUGUGGCAGAGGGGGGUGGAAUUCCGCGUGUAGCAGUGAAAUGCGUAGAGAUGCGGAGGAACACCGAUGGCGAAGGCAGCCCCCUGGGCUAGCACUGACGCUCAUGCACGAAAGCGUGGGGAGCAAACAGG